UACGUAGGGUGCAAGCGUUGUCCGGAAUUAUUGGGCGUAAAGAGCUCGUAGGCGGUUUGUCGCGUCGAAUGUGAAAACCCGGGGCUCAACCCCGGGCCUGCAUUCGAUACGGGCAGACUAGAGUUCGGUAGGGGAGUCUGGAAUUCCUGGUGUAGCGGUGAAAUGCGUAGAUAUCAGGAGGAACACCGGUGGCGAAGGCGGCCCUCUGGACGGAUACUGACGCUGAGGCGCGAAAGCGUGGGGAUCAAACAGG
rnacentral:rRNA from 1 species